CACGCACGCACGCACGCACGCAGGCGGGGCCGGGUCACAUUCCUGCCACCGGGUGCGGCGGAUCCUGCUGGCCCUGCUUGGUACACGAGACAAAUAACCCACCCCACCCCCGCCUUUUUUUUUUUUUUUUUCUGGGCCGAGUUUUGCGCGCGUGGUGCUGAGUUUUGCUAUUAAGAUCCUCAUAACCCGCUGCUCCUAAAACUCACCUCACCUCCCAGCCCACCUGGGCCUGAGUUCAGAAUGAUUUUCACAUCUUGUAGCGACUGCAGGUUUGGGCCUGUUACCUAAAGGAGGAAGUACUUUCAAGUUCCUUACUCUUUGACAUCUGUCACUGCGACCCUUCCCAGUUCUUCACAGUUCGGUUUCCCUGAUGGGCAGUAAAAGAACCGCAACCCUUGCCUUGGAGUAGUUAACAGUGUAGCAAUGGAGGCUAACAUUGAACCACCACUCAGAAUGUGACUACAAUCAUGGUCAUGUGAAGCUGGAAGAGGGUGUACAUGCAGACAGGACACUGUGUACAUAAUAAAUAAAUUAAUUAAUUAAAAAAACCAACGAACGGAUCUGGGAAGAAUAAAGGUAGAGGGAAGGAAGUUUGCUGCAGCCAUGCUAGAACUUUUCUCCAGAAAGAUGAAGUAAGGCCUGGAGAUUCCCUAUAAAGAGCAAGGAAGCCUGGCGGUGAUGGUGCAUGCCUUUAAUACCUAGCACUCCGGGGCAGAAGCAGGAAGAUGUCUGUGAGUUCGAGGCCAACCUGGUCUACUGCGUGAGUUUCAGGACAGCCAAGGCUACACAGAGAAACUCUUGUCUCAAAAAGAACCAACCCAACCAAAUAACCAAAUAGUAAGGGGAUGCAGGUAACAUCCAGGGCAAAGCACUGUCGAACUACAAGCUUGCCUUCCAGGUUCAUCUUCCUGCAUUAAAGGGUUAAGCUGGGAUCAAGGGACGGCCAUCCUGAGGUCCCAUAGUGGGAGAAACACACAGCAGGCAGAGUCAGGCUCCCUAAGUGUGGAUCUGAAGGAAAGCUGAAGUCCCAGAUACACAGUGAUGAAAACCUACAUCUGGAGACCAAAUGUCUGUCCCUAAGCAACCACAGAGUGCCAACACUCGAGAACAGGGCUGAGUCCUCUUCAUACUCGCUUUCACAACCACAUGUUUGCAUCUAGCAGGUGCUUAGAUUAGAUUCAUUGAAUUGGCAACAAUCAAAGCCUUCUUAUAUAUUGUUGCACUUUUCCAGAGAGUCUGAUCCACUGCCUCUUGGAGUAUUUUCAAGAUUCCAGAGGCUAAAAAUAUCGUCCCAAAGCUAUUGAAGGACUCUUCCAUGUAAGGAGCCCAGCUGAGACUCCCGAAGCUGAAAGUGUAUGCCCGCCAGGUGGCACCCUAACCCACAGAUGCCUUUUUAAGAAGAUGGACGAAUUCUCUUCCUUUCCUCCUAUUGUAGGAGGCUCCCUGCUCACAGAAAUGCUCUCUUCAGUCCAGCAGCCAGAUUCAGCUGCUCAAAGCAGUACAGAGUCUCAACCCUAGUCAAGGACGCUGUACAUCCCUGUGGGUGUGGCCGAGUCCCGGAAAAGAUGAAUGAACCCAGCUAGACCAUGGUUUAUGACAUAGCAGACUCAAGAACUACUUACUGCAGAGGAAUGGUUCAAAUGGAGGCCCAGACAAGCAAAUAAUUAUCAACGUGGAAAGCUGUACCCAAAGCCAGCGGUAAUUAAACCAGACAUUGUCUGCCAGGAGGGUUUGGAAGAUGGAGGGCAUUCUGAGUUCACGUGGGAGACUUGCAAGAAGUGACGGAGUUUGGGCAUGGGUGGGGGAAGGAAGUGGAAAAAACAAGAAAUUGGAACUUGGUUGGGGACAGAUUAUGCAAUAUGCCACAUUGACAAGACACAGCUCUGUACUGUGCUCAGUGAGGAACAGCCAGGUCUAUUUCAGAACCCUGCUGAAGAAUGAAGGUUGGCUUCUGGGGGUGGAGGGUGUGAGAAAAAGCCAUCACUGGUUUCCAGGUCUGAACCCCUCUGGACAUCAGGAAAAUGAAGAAAAUGGCUGUUCUUGUCUCUUGUGUUGUUGGAGGCUGACAUGAGAAUACACACAGAGCAUGGCCCUGUAAUACUAAUAAACCUUUGCAUCGUUGGGCUCUUUGCUAUCUGGAUGAAUAGUUAGGCACACAGGACGUUCUGUCUCUUAGACCUG
rnacentral:lncRNA from 1 species